rnacentral:rRNA from 1 species
GACGAACGCUGGCGGCGUGCCUAAUACAUGCAAGUAGAACGCUGAAGGAGGAGCUUGCUUCUCUGGAUGAGUUGCGAACGGGUGAGUAACGCGUAGGUAACCUGCCUGGUAGCGGGGGAUAACUAUUGGAAACGAUAGCUAAUACCGCAUAAGAGUAGAUGUUGCAUGACAUUUGCUUAAAAGGUGCAAUUGCAUCACUACCAGAUGGACCUGCGUUGUAUUAGCUAGUUGGUGGGGUAACGGCUCACCAAGGCGACGAUACAUAGCCGACCUGAGAGGGUGAUCGGCCACACUGGGACUGAGACACGGCCCAGACUCCUACGGGAGGCAGCAGUAGGGAAUCUUCGGCAAUGGACGGAAGUCUGACCGAGCAACGCCGCGUGAGUGAAGAAGGUUUUCGGAUCGUAAAGCUCUGUUGCAAGAGAAGAACGAGUGUGAGAGUGGAAAGUUCACACUGUGACGGUAUCUUACCAGAAAGGAACGGCUAACUACGUG